rnacentral:misc_RNA from 1 species
CAAAAAAUUCCAUGAUCCCAUAAAUGAUUUGUGUUAAAUUACACCGUUUCCUUGUUUGGUAUUUCCACUUUUUCCUAAGCAAGUGAUCAGUGAGAAAUACAUGGGAAUCCAUCAGGCUCAUUCAAAAUUAAGGCUUGAAAAAAAGGGAAGAAGAAGAAGCAAAAACCAUAAACACCAUUCACCGCCAAGAACAAAUAUGGUGAAAGGACUGAAGGUUAACUCAUUUCCAUGAUUAUCAUAUCAAACUCUCUGCCGAUUGUCGCAUUGCCUUUUAUUCUAUCUCCUUCUGUUUCCAAACACCAAGAAAACACUUGCAUGCAUACUUUAUACUUACAAGUAAUUGCAUUUCCUCACAUUUUCACAAUCUCACCACUGGGAAGUUAAUGUAAAAAAACGGAAGAAAAAGUAAUUAACGAACUGUCUUCAAAAGCCUGAACCCAUUUUGAAAGCUCUAUAGACAAAGAUCAAUAGGGCAGAGAGACACCAUCAUAAAUAAAAUCUUUUAGUCAUAGAGAUGAAGGGAAGGA